rnacentral:pre_miRNA from 1 species
GUCGUGUAUGUAUAGCGAGCAAUGACCGUGUGGUUCCCUCAUCACGGAGUGCUCGUUAUGCAUAGAUGCC